rnacentral:lncRNA from 1 species
UAAUCUACAGGCCAAUCCCCCCCCUACUGGUCGGCGCUGGCGUUGGGGCUUUUUUCGCAGAUCGAGUCGCCCUGGAUGCCGAGGGCGGAUGGAAGAUUAAAUGCUUAAUAUGGUGAUGAUACCCGAUGGGGUGACUUCAGCUGCAAGGAAGA